UCCCUGGUGGCUUAGACGGUAAAGCGUCUGUCUACAACGCGGGAGACCUGGGUUCGAUCCCUGGGUGGGGAA
rfam:TPA: Bos taurus chromosome 7, whole genome shotgun sequence.